GCUCAGUAAGCUCACUCUGGAAUGCGACGGGCUGUGGACCCGUAGGUCCCGGGUUCAAGUCCCGGCCCGAGCC
rnacentral:tRNA from 1 species